rnacentral:rRNA from 1 species
AGUGAACGCUGGCGGCGUGCUUAACACAUGCAAGUCGAACGAGAACGGAUUAUAGCUUGCUAUAAUUGUCAGCUAAGUGGCGCACGGGUGAGUAAUGUAUAGGUAAUAUGCCUCUUACUAAGGGAUAACAAAUGGAAACGCUUGCUAAUACCUUAUACUCCUUACUAACAGAAGUUAAUAAGGGAAAGAUUUAUUGGUAAGAGAUUAGCCUGUAUUGUAUCAGUUAGUUGGUGGGGUAAUGGCUUACCAAGACUAUGACACAUAACUGGUUUGAGAGGAUGAUCAGUCACACUGGAACUGAGACACGGUCCAGACUCCUACGGGAGGCAGCAGUGGGGAAUAUUGCACAAUGGACGAAAGUCUGAUGCAGCAACGCCGCGUGGAGGAUGACACAUCUCGGUGCGUAAACUCCUUUUAUAUGAGAAGAUAAUGACGGUAUUAUAUGAAUAAGCACCGGCUAACUCCGUGCCAGCCGCCGCCGUAA